rnacentral:sRNA from 1 species
CAUCAUCACCAUCCCUGACGAGUCUUCGGGCGUUUGGUGCUGGAAGACAUUUGAUCUUCCGGUGAUUAAGCAAAGGCAAAUGAGAACCCUCGGAAGAUCAAACUUCCGGGGUUUUUUUU